CGUGAGCAACCUGCCUUUAUCAGGGGGAUAACGCAUCGAAAGAUGUGCUAAUACCGCGUAAGACCACAGCUUCACAUGGAGCGGGGGUCAAAGGAGCAAUCCGGAUAAAGAUGGGCUCGCGUCCGAUUAGCUAGUUGGUGAGAUAACAGCCCACCAAGGCGACGAUCGGUAGCCGACCUGAGAGGGUGAUCGGCCACAUUGGAACUGAGACACGGCCCAG
rnacentral:rRNA from 1 species